AGUACAUGGGGUAAGCAUUGAGGUAGAUCAUUAAUGUAUAAUAAAAAGAGUAGUGGUCCUAGAAUAGAACCUUGUGGUACACCACACUUGACCAACUGUUCAGAUGAAAUUGUUCCAUUUAUCUGACAUAACUGAGUACGGUUGGUCAAGUAACAUGUUAAUAA